AUGGCAGGGCUGCAACAACUCAUACACAUCACCUUGGAGCAGCCCCUGGCUGCCUUCCAUCUCGUGAGGCAAACAGAAAGAGGGUCUGACUCCAUCCUUUUCCCUCCUGUUGUCCUCCAGAGGUUGUCUGCCCAGGAAAGGAACAGGUGCUCCUUUAAAAGAGCAGCUGGCACAGCAGUGUCACCAGGGGUGCGAGCACAAAGGGCCCCACUGCUGCUGGGCUCACCUCAGGGGGCUGAAGUUUGCUGUCCCACCAAACAUGCCCGUUCUGGAAGAGGUACCUGCAGCCAGGAGAGCCAGGACUGAUUCUCACAUGGGCAAAACCAUGGAUGGCAUCACUGCCAGCAGCGGCCUCUGCGCUCUCACCAAAUCCCUUCAUUUACUGUAGCAAUCCACGCUACAAAACUGCAGCGACUGAGCCACUGCUUUUCCCCCCAGGACCAGCAAAGCCACGGCGGGGUUCAGGACAGAGCCUCAGCAGAGCACAGCACACAGCACACAGCACUGGGGUCGAGGUGAAGCACUGCAAGAUCCAACCCAUCGCCCUGCUCCCCGUCAGCCACCUCCAGGCCUGAGGUGCAUGACAUCUGUCUGUUCCCUGCAGCUGUGGCUGAAAAGCCACAAGAACUGAGGGUCACUGGUAUUAACACCCCCUUGGAAUCGGUCCCACAGGAGCAGGUCUCAGGCCAACCUUUUGGCUGAGGCUUACAAGAGCCACCAGCCAGCAGGGCUGCCAGGAGCUAUAUAUAUCUUGCCUGGAUUUGAACUGCCCACAAACCUCCACCACAAAUAUUUGGAGGAAGGGGAGGGGGUAAAAGAAACAAAAACAUUAAAAAAUAUUGUCUCAGCAGUGAGAAAAGCUAUCAAACAACCCAUGACAAUUGAAAAAUUAGGCACUUCAAAAGCUUGGUUACUUUAUAAAUGGUGCGGUGUUUCCAGAGCAAGCAACUCAGGCACUGCUGGGCCACUCUCCUUCCCAAACCAUCUGUGCUAAAGCCAAAGGGCAGAGGAAAGACACCAGCCCUCCUUACGACCCCUCCUCACCCACUAGUUGCACCUCAGCCUCCCCAGACACCGGCAAGGAGAAAACCCACCUGCAUGGACCUGAUUCUUCCUCUCCCCUACCAACCUCCAUCUCUGAGCAUCCCCCUGGGGACAGUUACAUCAUUAAUAUAUAUUUAC
rnacentral:lncRNA from 1 species